CAACAGUAAUACCUAACAAUAUGCUUGUGUUUCUAGCUCCAACAGUAAUACCUAACAAUAUGCUUGUGUUUCUAGCUCCAACAGUACAGUAAUACCUAGCAAUAUGCUUGUGUUUCUAGCUCCAACAGUAAUACCUAACAAUAUGCUUGUGUUUCUAGCUCCAACAGUACAGUAAUACCUAGCAAUAUGCUUGUGUUUCUAGCUCCAACAGUAAUACCUAACAAUAUGCUUGUGUUUCUAGCUCCAACAGUAAUACCUAACAAUAUGUUUGUGUUUCUAGCUCCAACAGUAAUAUGGUCAGUGAUCUGUUCAUUAACUUGGCUUUCGAAGACUUUAGAAAGGCAGGGCAGGAUGGAUAUAGGUCUUUAGCAGUUUGGCUCUAGAGUGUCACCCCCUUUGAAGAGGGGGAUGACCGCGGCAGCUUUCCAAUCUUUAGGGAUCCCGGACUAUACGAAAGAGAGGUUGAACAGGCUGGUAAUAGGGGUUGCAACAUUGGCGGCGGAUAAUUUUAGAAAGAGAGGGUCCAGAUUGUCUAGCUCAGCUGAUUUGUCCGGGUCCAGGUUUUGCAGACAAGACGUACUGUGGAGGUGUACUGCAUACUGAGCAGACAAGACGUACUGUGGAGGUAUACUGCAUACUGAGCAGACAAGACGUACUGUGGAGGUGUACUGCAUACUGAGCAGACAAGACGUACUGUGGAGGUGUACUGCAUACUGAGCAGACAAGACGUACUGUGGAGGUGUACUGCAUACUGAGCAGACAAGACGUACUGUGGAGGUGUACUGCAUACUGAGUAGACAAGACGUACUGUGGAGGUGUACUGCAUACUGAGCAGACAAGACGUACUGUGGAGGUGUACUGCAUACUGAGCAGACAAGACGUACUGUGGAGGUGUACUGCAUACUGAGCAGACAAGACGUACUGUGGAGGUGUACUGCAUACUGAGCAGACAAGACGUACUGUGGAGGUGUACUGCAUACGGAGCAGACAAGACGUACUGUGGAGGGGUACUGCAUACGGAGCAGACAAGACGUACUGUGGAGGUGUACUGCAUACGGAUUAGACAAGACGUACUGUGGAGGUGUACUGCAUACUGAGCAGACAAGACGUACUGUGGAGGGGUACUGCAUACUGAGUAGACAAGACGUACUGUGGAGGUGUACUGCAUACUGAGCAGACAAGACGUACUGUGGAGGUGUACUGCAUACUGAGUAGACAAGACGUACUGUGGAGGGGUACUGCAUACGGAGCAGACAAGACGUACUGUGGAGGUGUACUGCAUACGGAGUAGACAAGACGUACUGUGGAGGUGUACUGCAUACUGAGCAGACAAGACGUACUGUGGAGGGGUACUGCAUACUGAGCAGACAAGACGUACUGUGGAGGUGUACUGCAUACUGAGCAGACAAGACGUACUGUGGAGGUGUACUGCAUACUGAGCAGACAAGACGUACUGUGGAGGUGUACUGCAUACUGAGCAGACAAGACGUACUGUGGAGGUGUACUGCAUACUGAGCAGACAAGACGUACUGUGGAGGUGUACUGCACACUGCCCUAUCCCAUCUGUACAAGAUGAAUACCUAUGUAAGAAUGCUGUUUAUUGACUAUAGCUCAGCAUUCAACACCAUAGUACCCUCCAAGCUCAUCAUUAAGCUCGAGGCCCUGGGUCUCAAUCCCACCCUGCUGUGCAACUGGGUCCUGGACUUCCUGACAGGCCGCCCCCAGGUGUUGGAGGUAGGAAACAUCAUCUCCACUUCGCUGAUCUUCAACACAGGGGUGCCACAAGGGUGAGUGCUCAGCCCCCUCCUGUACUCCCUGUUCACCCACGACUGCAUGGCCACGCACGCCUCCAACUCAAUCAUCAAGUUUGCAGACGACACAACAGUAGUAGCCUUGAUCACCAACAAGACAGCCUACAGGGAGGAGGUGAGGGCCCUGGGAGUGUGGUGUCAGGAAAAUAACCUUUCACUCAACGUCAACAAAACAAAGGA